rnacentral:rRNA from 1 species
UACGUAGGGGGCUAGCGUUGUCCGGAAUCAUUGGGCGUAAAGCGCGUGUAGGCGGUCCGGUAAGUCCGCUGUGAAAGUCGGGGGCUCAACCCUCGGAUGGCCGGUGGAUACUGUCGGGCUUGAGUACGGAAGAGGCGAGUGGAAUUCCUGGUGGUAGCGGGUGAAAUGCGGUAGAGAUCAAGGCGGAACACCCGGUGGCGAA